rnacentral:rRNA from 1 species
UGGGGAAUAUUGGACAAUGGGCGCAAGCCUGAUCCAGCCAUGCCGCGUGAGUGAUGAAGGCCCUAGGGUUGUAAAGCUCUUUCACCGGUGAAGAUAAUGACGGUAACCGGAGAAGAAGCACCGGCUAACUACGUGCCAGCAGCCGCGGUAAUACGUAGGGUGCGAGCGUUGUCCGGAAUUACUGGGCGUAAAGGGCUCGUAGGUGGUUUGUCGCGUCGUCUGUGAAAUUCCGGGGCUUAACUCCGGGCGUGCAGGCGAUACGGGCAUAACUUGAGUACUGUAGGGGUAACUGGAAUUCCUGGUGUAGCGGUGACAUGCGCAGAUAUCAGGAGGAACACCGAUGGCGAAGGCAGGUUACUGGGCAGUUACUGACGCUGAGGAGCGAAAGCCUGGGUAGCGAACAGG